CACUGGACUGCCUUGGUUACUUUUUUUUGGUCAACCAAAGGAAUAUAUAUUAUAAAUUAUAUAACAUUACAGGGAGCAAUGUGCCUAGCCGGCACUGUAUUACAAAAAAGAUGAAGAGCAAUGUUGCCCAUUGGUACUGUGUUACAAAAAGAUGCAUGGUUCAUAUUACAAAUAUUUGCCAACAUAUCAAAACGAAAGGAGGGUGGCUCCAAAUGUGCCGGCGUAGAUGAUGUGUGCCUGUGCAACGUUCCCUGCUUAUCUGCUAGCAAAUCUUGUAAAACAAAAGUUGGCAGCUGCCAUAUGAUAGUAGUUGGAGCACCAUUAUCUAUAGUUGCUUCAUGUUUUGCUAGUUUAUCUGCUAUCCAAUUUUGCUCCUUGUAUGUUUAUAUAACGCGAGGCCAACCCAGUUAGUGUAACAGAUACCUGCAUUCAUGUAGUAUCGAUGAGUAUUGUUGACUGUGGGAUUGAAAUAGAGAAAUUACCUCUGUUGAAUGAACAUUAACUUCCAGAUGUCAGUUGGUGACGUAGAGCAAUUUGUAAUCCUUCAAGGAGUGCAUUGAGUUUCAUAUAAGUAUGGUUCCCUAUUUUUCUUGUGUCUAUAUACCCCAGUAUCUAGUGUCCUAUUGAGUCUCUAAAUACUCCUCUAAGACCAUUUUUUGAUUGAAUAAUUUUACAUGCUCCAUCAGUAUUUAGCUUAAAAUAUCCCGAUUUUGGAGGGUUCUAUUGACAUACAUGUGGUUGGG
rnacentral:lncRNA from 1 species